UGGAGAGUAAAACUCAGGGCAUGUCUACACUUACCUCUGGAGUGAUCGAUCCAUCAGGGGUCGAUUUAGCGCAUCUAGUGAAGAUGCGAUGAAUCGACUGCCGAGUGCUCUUCCGUCAA